AGUUGUAACGGGCCACCAUUCGUCAAACUUUUAUGACCCCCUCCCCCACCCGUUGACAGGUCGUGUUUUAUGACCCCUUUGACAGGGGGGCGGGACCAUCAAUCAAAAUCUGUACAAGUUGUCAACUUUAGACAGAAAGUAUUUAAUGGUUUUAUUGCCGGUCAUUUAGAGUGAUUGUUUUUCCUGAGUGUGUUUUAUGUCAAGCGUAUGCUGUUAUGUUUAAUGACGGCUCGUGUGUGACAUUUGCUGUCUAUCACCCCUCCCUUUUCGACCCAGUGCGAGUCUCACCACUGCGUGUCACACUACGGGUGUGUUGUUGAAUCUAAAGUUUUGCAACAGCAUAAGUUUAAUUUAAAGGCAAUCACUAAUCAUAUAUAUAUAUAUAUAUAUAUAUAUAUAUAUAUGUGUGUAAUUAGAUGUAUCUGGUUAAACUUAAAGGCCGAUAUUUUCUAUCGAACUAGUCUAUUUUCUGUUCAGACACAAAGUUUUCUGAUGGUGAUAUUAUGUCAGUGUGUGUUUGUGUGGGGGUCGUGUGCUGUAAUCUUUGAAAGUUUAUGACCGAACCUUUAUUGGGGAGCGACAAGAGAUCUCCGGCAUCAGUUUGGAUGGAGCAGAGCUGUUAUACUCAAGUCUAUUGCGAAAUUGUCUAAGCUGGUAUUUACUAUUCCUGGUAAAUCGCGGAGAAGAGUGGAAUGAACAAAAAAGUCAGACCGUGACUAGAACCACCAGCAGCGUAACAAGGAAAUCUUGGAACAAAAGAGACGCCGAGUGGCUCGUGUUGUCCGGUUUGGAUAUCAGCGGCAAAGCGAACGUUGCGUGUACUAUUGCAAAAUAUAUAGCGGAUCUCCACGGUUAGGAUACAGAACACAACGCUUUGGACGUAUCUUUAAAAAAGAGAAAAAUCAGAGACUUUUUGGAUUUGUCUGGGACAUUUUAAACAUUUUGUGGCAAAUUGGAUUUAAAACGUUUCGGAUACUGGAUACAUGUGUUUGAUUUGUCCACAGAGCUUGUUUAAGACGUCUUCACCUCAUUUUAGGGUUUAUUUUUAAUUAAAGGCUUCUUAAAACAUGUGUGAAAAUGUGUAUAUUAUACAAUGAGUAUUAUAUUGACUGCUCUGACAAAAAUAAAUUAUUAUUUUAGAUUUUA